rnacentral:rRNA from 1 species
ACUCACGCGGGAAUCUUACCGGGUCCGGACACACUGAGGAUUGACAGGUUAUGGGGCGGGUUGAAUUUUCAAUCUCUUCGGGGAUUAAUUUUCUCCCACCUCAAAAAUAUGCUAGUCCUUUCAUGAUUAUGUGAUAGGUGGUGCAUGGCCGUUCUUAGUUCGUGGAGUGAUCUGUCUGCUUAAUUGCGUUUCACUAAAGGCGUCAUUAAUUUUUUGUGCCUGUGUUUGACCCCGCACUUCGGUGCGCGCGCGUCUUUCACACACAAUUACUUUGACGUCUGAAAGCAACGAACGUGACCGUAACCUCUUGUUGCCUUCUCUUCUCUUCGGAGAAUGCUGCUUUAUACCUUCACGGGUGAAUUGCAGUAUACGGAGGCUUAAUACUCAGUAACUAGAGGGACCGCUGUUACUUUCUUUAAACCAGAGGAAGGUUGCGGCAAUAACAGGUCUGUGAUGCCCUUAGAUGUUCCGGGCUGCACACGUGAUACAUUGAUUACUUCAGUGAGUAUCUACGUAUUACUGCGCAGCAGUAUACGCGUGUUGUUUAUUGCUUCGGCAAUUUACUUUGCGCUAUACGCCGCCUUAACCUACUUCGAAAGUAUGUGGGUAACCAAUUAGAAGUAGUGAUUUCCCUCUUUAUAAGCACACUUAUAUGGAGCAUCAUCACCCGGCAUGCCUUGUGCAUGUUUUGUGUGUGUUGUUUGUCUACAUGUGCUUUUGUCAAUUCAUAGUGGGGACAGACCAUUGUUAAUUGUUGGUCUCGGUCUUAACUAGGAAUGCCUUGUACGAGUUUUUGGUUCAACAAACCACUCGGAAUACGUCCCUGCCCUUUGUACACACCGCCCGUCGCUCUUACCGAUGGAUUAUAUUAUGAGUUGGCAGGACCGUCCAGGAAAUGCCUGCGAAUAAUGUGAUCUAAAGGAAAGAGA